rnacentral:hammerhead_ribozyme from 1 species
AAGCGAAACACGGGCAUCUGCCCGUGUCUGCCAAGCGUCGUGACUUGGUACUGACGAGCAGCGAUAA